rnacentral:rRNA from 1 species
GACGAACGCUGGCGGCGUGCUUAACACAUGCAAGUGGGGCGACGAACCAGGCUUCGGCCUGGGGCAAAGCCGCGAACGGGUGAGUAACACGUGGAUAACCUGCCCCGAAGACCGGGACAACCCGGGGAAACCCGGGCUAAUACCGGAUGUGGUCACCGUCCAUAAGGACGAUGAGCAAAGGAAGCUUCGGCCUCCGCUUCGGGAGGGGUCCGCGGCCCAUUAGCUUGUUGGUGAGGUAACGGCUCACCAAGGCGACGAUGGGUAGCUGGUCUGAGAGGACGAUCAGCCACACUGGGACUGAGACACGGCCCAGACUCCUACGGGAGGCAGCAGUGGGGAAUCUUGCGCAAUGCGCGAAAGCGUGACGCAGCAACGCCGCGUGAGCGAAGAAGGCCUUCGGGUCGUAAAGCUCUUUCAGCAGGGACGAAGCUCCGGCAGCGAAUAGCUGUCCGGAGUGACGGUACCUGCAGAAGAAGCCCCGGCUAACUACGUGCCAGCCGCCGCCGUAACAC